rnacentral:lncRNA from 1 species
CUGUGGUCGCCUAGAAGGGUAUGAACUUAGGGCAUCCCCAUCUGGGCUGUGAAGGUUUCUGACUUGGGGACCAGGUGCUCAGACCUUCCUGGAUGCUGCUUUCCACAAUAUCUCUACCAGGCAGGCAGGUUCUCUUCAUUUUGCAAAUUUGGUGAAACAGCAUUUGUAAAACUUUAGAAGCUUCCUUGGCUCACACAGGUGGUAGUGGCCCUGUCAGGAUUUGACCCAGGCUCUCGGAUUCCAGAGUUCCUGAAUUUAACCACCUGUACUGUGAUGCCUCCUUAUCAUGUGUGCAUCGUGCAUUACUAUUUUUUAUAGCCUGUAGGGUACUGAGCACCAUGCACACCUACAGUGAUCACAGGCACUGCCUACUGGAAGGUCUUCUUUGGCUGGGUUCCAGUUUCCUCAGACGAUGUAGGGCAGGGAGUUCCACUUGUUAGCAUAUCCCACAGGGCCUUUCUCUUCAAAUGGACCCCAGCAGCCAACCACACAGCUGCCUCAGCAAGCGUAGGAGAUGGCACAUCAGAGACCAACAAUUGUCAGCACAGCAAAACUGGGCAUUUCUUUUCUUACUGAGCUUUGCAGCUACCUACACAGUUGUGUGUGGCAUCUCCUCCUGGGUGCAAGGACAUGAGAUGACAUCAGCUACGAGCCUAUAUCCUUCAACCCUUGGAAGCCACUGAUCUGCUUUCUGUUUCUAUGGAUCCCC